UACAGAGGUCCCGAGCGUUGUUCGGAUUCAUUGGGCGUAAAGGGUGCGUAGGCGGCUUUGUAAGUCAGUGGUGAAAUAUGGCAGCUCAACUGUCAAGGUGCCAUUGAUACUGCAGAGCUUGAGUACAGAUGAGGUAGGCGGAAUUGACGGUGUAGCGGUGAAAUGCUUAGAUAUCGUCAAGAACACCUAUAGCGAAGGCAGCUUACUAGGCUGUAACUGACGCUGAGGCACGAAAGUGUGGGGAUCAAACAGG
rnacentral:rRNA from 1 species